ACAUAUCCCCUGAGGUCAAUGCCUACUUAGAGGAGACCUUAGCAAGCCGGUACAAAGAUUGGAAGAGCGCUCUUCACAAGCAUUUUCAGCUAUGGGAAUCUCCGGAUGCUCGCCUACAGGGUUGCCCACUCGAGUAUAAGGAGCGGCGAGAGGAUUGGGAGUGGCUCUGCACACAUUUUACGGAUCCAAAAUUUUUGGUAUGUACAUAAUACUUUAAUAAUAAUUUAUUGUUUUUGUUAUUUUAUUUAAGCUUUUUUUAAUAAUUUCUUUCAAAUAGUCGCACUAACAUAUAUAUUGUAUGUUUAACAAAAGAAAUCUGCUGCUGGCAAGAAAGCUCGGGACUCAAAGACACUUCUCCACCAUUCUGGUUCGAAGCCCUUUUCGUAUAGGGUUGAGGCACGACGUGAGGAGGGUUCUAAGUUCCCACAGAUUGACCUGUUCAAGCAUGUUUACGUUCAUCCCAACAAUAAGAACAGUGACCAGCUUUAUGGUGAUAUGGUGGAAAAGAGCACUGCUAUUCUCCAAGAAGCAACAUCGCAGCUUCCCCCAAAGACCCCGAUCGAGGAGGUCAUUGUACCCAAGGAUGCAGAUGUUCAGAUCGUGACUGAGGUCCUGGAUCAGAAGUUUGGUCGUCGUCAUGGUAAGGUUGUUCGGUGUACGGGGAAGGCGGGGGUUCGUGAAACGGGUGCCUCUUCUUCCAGAUUGUCCAUAGGAGAGGUCAAUUCCUUGAAGGAGGAAGUGACAACCCUAAGAGGUCAGGUUGCGGCCCAGGACGAGAGGAUGAAUAUGAUUGUUCAGGCCUUAGCGAUGUCCGGCCUCCAAAUCCCGACGAUGCCAGCACCUAAUGUUGCUCCACCUUCGACUUCCCAGCCAUUUUGCCCAGACGAUACCGAGUAGCAUGAUGUAUUAAACUUAGAAGACUUGUAGUUUUUUAUUUUUUUGUUCGGACAAACGUACAUUUUCAUAUAUUCUAUAAUUAAUUACUUUUUCUUGGUUUA